UACGUAGGGGGCAAGCGUUGUCCGGAAUCAUUGGGCGUAAAGCGCGCGUAGGCGGCCCGAUAAGUCCGCUGUAAAAGUCCAGGGCUCAACCCUGGAAAGCCGGUGGAUACUGUCGGGCUAGAGGAUGGUAGAGGCGAGUGGAAUUCCUGGUGUAGAGGUGAAAUUCGUAGAUAUCAGGAGGAACACCAGUGGCGAAGGCGGCUUUCUGGACGGUAACUGACGCUGAGGCGCGAAAGCGUGGGGAGCAAACAGG
rnacentral:rRNA from 1 species